rnacentral:rRNA from 1 species
GACAAACGCUGGCGGCGUGCCUAACACAUGCAAGUCGAGCGCGAAAGGGACCUUCGGGUCCCCUGAGAGCGGCGAACGGGUGAGUAACACGUGGGCAACCUGCCUCAAGGACUGGGAUAACUUCGGGAAACCGGGGCUAAUACCGGACGAUGUCGUCUCGUGCAAGCGAGCCGACCAAAUGGUAGCUUCGGCCUCCGCCUUGAGAUGGGCCCGCGUCCUAUCAGCUUGUUGGUGAGGUAAUGGCUCACCAAGGCUACGACGGGUAGCUGGUCUGAGAGGAUGAUCAGCCACACUGGGACUGAGAUACGGCCCAGACACCUACGGGUGGCAG